rnacentral:rRNA from 2 species
AUGGUUAAGUUAGAAAGGGCGCACGGUGAAUGCCUUGGCACUAGGAGCCGAUGAAGGACGGGACUAACACCGAUAUGCUUCGGGGAGCUGUAAGUGAGCUUUGAUCCGGAGAUUUCCGAAUGGGGAAACCCACUGUUCGUAAUGGAACAGUAUCUUUAUCUGAAUACAUAGGAUAUUGAAGGCAGACCCGGGGAACUGAAACAUCUAAGUACCCGGAGGAAGAGAAAGCAAAUGCGAUUUCCUGAGUAGCGGCGAGCGAAACGGAAUUAGCCCAAACCAAGAGGCUUGCCUCUUGGGGUUGUAGGACACUCUAUACGGAGUUACAAAGGAACGAAGUAAAUGAAGCGACCUGGAAAGGUCCGUCRAAGAAGGUAACAACCCUGUAGUUGAAACUUCGUUCYCUCUUGAGUGGAUCCUGAGUACGGCGGAACACGUGAAAUUCCGUCGGAAGCUGGGAGGACCAUCUCCCAAGGCUAAAUACUACCUAGUGACCGAUAGUGAACCAGUACCGUGAGGGAAAGGUGAAAAGCACCCCGGAAGGGGAGUGAAAGAGAUCCUGAAACCGUGUGCCUACAAGUAGUCAGAGCCCGUUAACGGGUGAUGGCGUGCCUUUUGUAGAAUGAACCGGCGAGUUACGAUCCCAUGCAAGGUUAAGCUGAUAAGGCGGAGCCGUAGCGAAAGCGAGUCUGAAUAGGGCGUUUAGUAUGUGGUUGUAGACCCGAAACCAGGUGAUCUACCCAUGUCCAGGGUGAAGUUCAGGUAACACUGAAUGGAGGCCCGAACCCACGCACGUUGAAAAGUGCGGGGAUGAGGUGUGGG